AUUUAACGCUGGCGGCAUGCCUUACACAUGCAAGUCGAACGGCAGCACGGGUGCUUGCACGUGGUUGCGAUUGGCGAACGGGUGAGUAAUACAUCGGAACAUGUCCUGUAGUGGGGUGUAGCCCGCCGAAAGCCGGAUUAAUACCGCAUACGAGCUAUGUAUUAAAGCUUGGGACCUUCGGUCCUCGCGCGAUCGUGUUGGCCGAUGGCUGAUUAUCUAGUUGGUGGGGUAAAGGCUUAGCAAUGCGACUAUCAGUAGCUGGUUUCAUAGGACGACCAGCCACACUGGGAAUGAGACACGGCCCAGACUCCUACGGGAGGCAGCAGUGGGGAAUUUUGGACAAUGGGCGAAAGCCUGAUCCAGCAAUGCCGCGUGUGUGAAGAAGGCCUUCGGGUUGUAAAGCACUUUUGUCCGGAAAGAAAUCCUUGGCCCUAAUACGGUCGGGGGAUGACGGUACCGGAAGAAUAAGCCCCGGCUAACUACGUG
rnacentral:rRNA from 1 species